AGUCACACUCCUUGGAAGCUGCAGAGUUGGUGAGGUGAGGUUGGCUGGUGGCUUUCCUUAUAUUCCUGAUCUCUCUAAGGCUUUCACCUUAGAGUCCUUCAUAAGAGUGGUCAAACAAAAGCUGUGUAUGAGCCGAAUCAGAUGACUCACAAAGGAAAUUUUUUCCUACAAUCCAAAGGAAGUCAACCGGGAAGAAAUGACAUUUCUAUAAAAGCAGUAUCCAUCAUCUAAAGAAGGAACAUGAAAGUUCACCCGUGCUUCUCUGUGUGUGUCAGUAUGAUACCUCUGCUAUUGAAAACAUGCAUCACUGAUUAUUCAUAAGAAGCAAAUGAGGUAAACACUAACCAUCGUGAGUAGUCAGAGUACAACCCUGAAGUAGUUGUCAUUGACCUGGAAAGUAGGUGUGAGAAAUCCACACAUAAACCAGAAAAAGAAAAACAUAAAGCCCUGUUCUCUUUCAUAAGAUACUCUAAGCUCACCUAAAGAACAUUUCUAAAGAUGGCAAGCUGUGGACUGAGCAAUUGGAAAGGGAAUUAGGAGGCUAAAAAUAGCAGCGGCAGUGUGCUGCAUCUGAGGGGAGCUCGAAUGAGUUCAUAAAUACCUCUGGGCCAGGGCAAAGGAUGGAGUUUGAGAACAGCUCACGGGCAUUUGGAAAAAUAACUUCCUUUUCGUUGACUCCCUAAGAAUACAUCACAGAGAGAUGAUGCUUGUGGCUUCCAAGCUAGGUCCUUACCAAGGACAACAACUAUCUGGAUUGCCUUCUUCAAAGGAAGCAAUGUCAAUGCCAUCACAAAGCUCUUCACUUAAGUGGAGAGAAAUGGAAGCUUCCCACGAGCACCCCGUCAUCACCCUAGAGCUAUAGGUAAAAAGCUGAAAGGCACAGCAUCAACCUCCUCCAAUCCCCAUCUUCUGGAGCUUAUCCUGGACCUUUCAUCUUAGUUGUAUGUGAAAUUUGCUGCUGCUGAAGACACCACAUGCUUGAGUCAUAGAACAUGAAGAUAUCACCCUGGUACUGACCCCCACUACCUAGCUCUCAUA